GGGGUUGUGGCUCAGUGGUAGAGCACUCGUCUAGCAAGUGCGACGUUCUGAGUUAGAUCCUCAGCACCACA
rnacentral:tRNA from 1 species